rnacentral:lncRNA from 1 species
AUUUUAAGCAUUUACCUGAAACAGAUUGGAAAUAAUCUAUGUAACCUAGAAGCUUAGAAUAUACUUAUGAAAAUGGUUGACAUAAACAUACUGAAAAUUUUAUGAGUUAUUUCCCUUAACAAAGGUCUACCUCUUUAAAUAUUCUGUGAAUAAUUAAAUGUUUUUUAAGACUCAUUCAUCCACCUCUUCCUGUGUACACCCAAAUUUUGUAUGUUGAUAUUUGAACAGAAACAUUUUCUCCUCAUAAGAUGACCAAAAUAUACUGUAGGUUCACUAUAAUUUGUGGAUACCAAUCUUUGUGGAUUUCGUGGGUACAGAUUAACCACAAAAUUAAUUGUUCAACAAAUAAGAUAUUUUCUAUAGGCUUGUAUGCAGACAUCAGCAAAACCAUGAAAUUAAACAUCCCGGAACAUACAUGUAAGUUUUCCUUAAUCCACGAGAAUUGGUACCCAUGAAAGUGACUGAAUCCACAGUAGUUUUGUUCGAGUUCUAGAACAUAAUUCACAUUCAAAUGUCACAUUCCAGAAUACAUAUUUUGGAAAAGUUGUUUGUCCAGAUAAUAAGGAAUAAUAUAUUUAUUGAUCUUAAAGUUUUAUACAAAACUCAAUGAAAUAUAAACAGACAUUUUUGUAAAAUCUCUUUAAAUAAAAAAAAUAAUUUGUUGGCAGGC